rnacentral:pre_miRNA from 1 species
UAGCAGCACAUAAUGGUUUGUGAGUUUUGAAAUACAGGCCAUAUUGUGCUGCCUCA